rnacentral:miRNA from 1 species
GUGGGAGGACGGCUUGAGCCUGGGAGAUGGAGGUUGCAGUGAGCCGAGAUCACACCACUGCACUCUAGCCUGGGCAACAGAGCCAGACCUUGUCUC